rnacentral:rRNA from 1 species
AUUGAACGCUGGCGGCAGGCCUAACACAUGCAAGUCGAACGAGUGGCGGACGGGUGAGUAAUGUCUGUGAACCUGCCUGAUGGAGGGGGAUAACUACUGGAAACGGUAGCUAAUACCGCAUACCAUCAGAUGUGCCCAGCUGGGAUUAGCUUGUUGGUGGGGUACAGGCUCACCAAGGCGACGAUCCCUAGCGGGUCUGCGAGGAUGACCAGCAACACUGGAACUGAGACACGGUACAGACUCAUACGGGAGGAAGCAGUGGGGAAUAUUGCACAAUGGGCGCAAGCCUGAUGCAGCCAGGCCGCGUGUAUGAAGAAGGCCUUCGGGUUGUAAAGUACUUUCAGCGGGGAGGCGUUACCCGAAGAAGAAGCACCGGCUAACUCCGUGCCAGCAGCCGCGGUAAUAC